rnacentral:tRNA from 2 species
GGUGGGAUGGCAGAGUGGACUAUUGCGUCUGCCUUGAAAGCAGAUGGCGCAAGCCUCCUGGGUUCGAAUCCCAGUCCCACCG